rnacentral:misc_RNA from 1 species
UCAAGACUUUCAAGUCGCUGAAUUACAUCUGGCUCCCAACAGUCACUCUUCUCUGCGACCAAAAUAUUGAUCUCCAUUCCUUUUGGUGGGUGUUCCAGUAAAGACCAAUAUGAUGACUCCCAGUAAGAAUCGAACAUCUGGAUGGCACCUUCAGGAUUAAAAGACCACAUCUCCUGUUCUCCAGAUUUCUUUAGAUAGUUACUAAUCCAUUCUGCUGUUGGCUUACAGACCCCUAGUUCAAUCAUGUGAUUCACAAGCCACUUCCGUGAAGGAAAUGAAGAAG